GUCUAUGAUCAUACCACCUUGAAAGUGCCCGAUCUCGUCUGAUCUCAGAAGCUAAGCAGGGUCAGGUCCGGUUAGUACUUGGAUGGGAGAAAAACUAACUAAUUAAAGAAA
rnacentral:rRNA from 1 species